CCUACGGGAGGCAGCAGUGAGGAAUAUUGGUCAAUGGGCGCGAGCCUGAACCAGCCAAGUCGCGUGAGGGCAGACGGUCCUAUGGAUUGUAAACCUCUUUUGUCGGGGAGCAAAAGACGCCACGCGUGGCGUUCCGAGAGUACCCGAAGAAAAAGCAUCGGCUAACUCCGUGCCAGCAGGCGCGGUAAUACGGAGGAUGCGCGCGUUAACCGGUUUUAUGGGGUGUAAAGGGUGCGCAGGCGGAAGAUCAAGCCAGCGGUAAAGUUGAGGGGCUCAACCUCUUCGAGCCGUUGAAACUGGUGUUCUGGAGUGAGUGAGAAGUAGGCGGAAUGCGUGGUGUAGCGGUGAAAUGCAUAGAUAUCACGCAGAACUCCGAUUGCGAAGGCAGCAUACCGGCGCUCAACUGACGCUCAUGCACGAAAGUGUGGGUAUCGAACAGGAUUAGAUACCCCAGUAGUC
rnacentral:rRNA from 1 species